CUCUUACAGUCUCUAUCAGCCACGUAUGUCGAUUCUGGUUACCGGCAAGGCAGAUUGAACUUUAACAAAUGCUCGCUAGUAUCAUAUGCACUGUUCUCGUUAUGCGAGCAUUUUCUGGGCCUAAUGUCGCCACAGCAUCAUCGCGGUACCAUGAUAACUGCGUUGUCUGCAGGUGCCGUUCUCCACCUUACAACCAAUGCAAGUUAAACAGCAUAUGCUACUGUGUUGAAGGGUGUCUCCGUCGAGGUUCGUACGGCCCCUUAGUGAGACGCCGAGAGUGCAAUCUAAAUAAUAGAUAUAUACAUCUCUCUUGAGUUGGCGAUAAUGCUGUCAUCGCUGGAUGAGGAUGACGACAAGAUAAAAACAUCAAGUUUCAAAAUCAGAUUCAGCACACCCUGGUUCGAAACAACAAUGUCAUUAAUAGAACUAUGCGUCGGCUCUAUAAAAAGAGGAACAACGGAGUUAUCGAGCGUAAAAACAGUUUUAAAGUAACUAUUAAAUGCGUUUGCAAUCAUUGCAGUGUCACUUGUAACUGUGUUGUUUAUUUCAAAAGUAUUACUGGCGGAUUCCUUUGGCAGAAAAGAGCUCCAAAAUUUACGUGGAUUAUUUCUAAGCAAACUUGGAAGUGUUACCUGGAAGUAAAAAUCCCGAGCAGCAUUACUUUUGCU